UUUUAUUUCUCAUAUUAUAAAUAUAUAUAUAUAUAAUUUUUUUCUUUCUUUUUUUUUGUAAAUCAAGACUGUUAGGGUUAGCUAAACUGCUUCUGGAUAGAAAGGAAAAAAGGCAACUAAAGGUAUUUGAAAGACAGUGAGGAAGGAUUUUUUUUUCACCUUUUUAAAAAAAAUUUUUCUUCAUUUUUAUUAUUUUAAGUAUUGCCUGGGUUGAUGAGGGCCCUUUGUGGCCAGCCGCCCCUGCUGUUAUUUGAACUGCUGCUUUGUAUGUUGAUGUGUAAUUCUCCUUUGACUUAUAGCAAACUAAAGAUGCUCCACAGUUUUGUUUUGUUUUGUUUUGUUUUCAAUUGUUCUAUCUAGAAUUCUUUUCUUUUCUGGAAAGGGAGUUCAUUUGUUCAGAAAGACUUCUCCAAAAGUUCACUGAGAUUUUGUCAUUCUAGAGUUUCUAGUCAUUUUUUCCUCUUUUCCUUUAUUAGACUCAGAUGGUUUAGAGUACUUAAACAUUUGAAAUUUCCUCUGUUUCUUUCUUUUUUUUUUUCUUGGUGGUCAUCUGGGAGGAGUUCGCAGUCUUCUCCUAUCUCUUCCCUUCUCCAGAGAUCUCAUCCCUAUUGAGAGGAAGCUCAUGAAAACAUUACUGGAAGAACCCUAUCCCACACCGAGAAGCAUCAAUGCCAAAAUGACCUUUCUCCCCUCUAAAUGUCACUAUUUCAUUAUUCCCACUAAUUGAGGCUGUCAAGCAAAAAAGAUCACAAACUAAAUGCUGUUGUCUUUCAUAAGACCCAGCUCUUUGGGAGUAAUCCAGGAAGACUGUGGAAACUUCCUCCCAUCCACUGUGCUGAAUGAUUUCCAUUCAGUUACAUAGCACCAUAUACCACUUUUUACUUCUAGCUAGGAUUUCUUUCCUCUCUGCUUAGAGAAAUUUUGUGGUAGAGGUUUCCCAUUUGUGAAUCAUUAUAAUGAAGGAAUUUCAAUUCAAACAUAGUAAUUCUUAAACCAAACUGAAACUUUCAGUGGUUCCAUUGCUGGGCAUGAUAGAGCAUCCUUAAGGAAAAGUAGGUCUUUAGGCAAAGUAGAAGCACUAAACCAAAUUAUGUAGAGACAGAGUAAGAGAGUCUUCAUAGGGCCUUAGAGUUUCAAAACCUCUUUGUAUUUUCAUUCAGCUUUCCUUCAAGUGUUCAUGCCCAAAUAUUUUAUUUACAAAAAUUCAGUAGCCUACCUAAGAAAAAUCUUCUGAAAGGCAAUUCUAUAAUGACUAAAUUAAUUUUAUUUAUACAUUUUUAACAUUUGGUACCCUGGAUGUUUCCCCCAAAGGUGUUUCUUGGAGCACCUGCAGUAUGAAUGACAUCCAUUCCAACUCUGCAGUCUGUAUAAAUUCAGUGGGCAGUUAGCUUAAGGCAUGACUGUAGACUUGGGUCCCCAUUGGUCCUUAGAAGGUGGACUACUGUCAAGUCCAUGUAAAAUUCCACUUUAUUUAAAUAAUAAUAGAAACUGCCUCAGACUUUACCAGGAAGGAAAUGUCUCUAUUUAAUCAAUAAUUAAAAAUGUCAUUUUAACAUAUGACCCUUUAUAUUUUUUGCUUACUGCCAACAGAGGGAAUAUAAGUUAAAUAAUAAAUUAUGUUGAUAUUUUGAAGAAUCAUUUAGACCAUGAGAUUAAAAGAGACUGACAAAUUAAGAAAGUACAAUACCUAGAAGAGAAGGGGCCGUGAAGUUACUCAGCACAGGUUAUAAACAAAAGUGUGCAAAAAGGUCUCUUUAAACAUUUGCAUCACAUUUGAUAAUGGCCCAUUUAAAACCGCGCCUCUACUCUAAUCACAAUGAUGAAUAUAGAAACAACAUUCUUUCCCGUAGAGAACUACCUGGUUUCAGGCCAUGAUUCGACCCUCAGCUUCUCAAAUUUAAAGAAAACCCAUUGAGAAGACUAAUUUGCCAUAUUAUAAAGUUAAGCAGAUAGUUCAAAAUGUACCUAGAGUUUCUGCUCAUGCAUGAAGUCCCAAAUGUUCAACCUUCCCCAUCUCUUUUUUUAAAAAAGGAAUAAACCAGAAGAUGCCCUCAGAGUUCUCAGUGGGGUGAUACCCCAUAGGUCAUGGAUGUUGAGUGGAUCAGUUGGUAGAUAGGAGGCAGUGCACCAUCUUUAUACUUUUACAGAUGUAGGUUCCUAGUGAACGUCUUCUCCAAAACUUCUCCUAUUCUACACUAACCAGUGCCCUCCCCAUGAAAGAGGGGGCAUGUACUUGAACAGCAGAUCUUUGUUUUUUGGGAAGAUAAAGGAUACUUUGGGUACAGUACCUUACUGAACUAACUUCUUAAAUAAGCUGCCUCCCAAAUGGAUUCAGAUUAUAAAAAACCAAACAUUCUGCUCAAGAAUGAAACUGCUUGUGGUUAGAGGCAAUCCUGAACUUUUGAAACAACCUCAGAGUUGGAGAGAGAGGAAGACUGCAGCAAAAGCAAAAAACCUGAUGAGGAAAGGCCUUUUAGUUCUUUAAUUUUGUUCCAAACAACUAACCCUCUUGUCUUAGUGCGUCACAUCCAUCAAUGGACUAUGAAGUACCAGGGACCUUUUGGUUUUUUCCUUAGCCAGUAAAAUCAAGAACUUACCUGGGACUGGAUCCGACAGAUUAAGGUUCCUUUUGAUCGGGUACAGAAAGCCAGAGCCUAUGUGGGAAGAAAAACCACACUUUCUUUUUUCUCUUCUUUUCUUUUCUUUUUUUUUUUUUAAUGAUCGAAUCUGACAAUAGCUAAAUUCUCCCAGCAAGAAAAAGAGGGUGGUAGAUGCGUUUUGUAAAGAUUAGCACUUCCAAUCACUACAAACAAAAGCUGGUUCAUCAAAAUAACACUGGAUCAUUUCCUUUACAAAUAAUUGCUAAUACUUGGAUAAACAUACCCCAAAUAGUCCAAAAUGUGUAGUCCAAACAUGCAUAGGUGGGUCUUUACUAGGAAAGAGAACUUGAAAAGGGAUUUAAUACAAAUCUACUUAUGAGGAAGAAUUUAUGGAAUGAGCCUAAAGGUACCUUAAGUAGACUCAAAUGCCUAUUGAAAUGACUACUAACUUUUUUUCUUAUUUAUUUUAACUAAAUUUGAAACUUUGGGCCCUAUAACUUCUUUCCUUCUUCAGCAUGGCCUCUUAAGUAUAUAUACUUGUAUACAUACAACUAAAAGACGGUCUUUCCUCUCUCUCUCCCCAUGUUAGCACCACAGCAGCUCCCUCCCUGUUCUAUAAGAUUUGGGGCUUGAAUGAUUUACCUAAUUUAAAAGUUACCAGUAUUUUAUUUCUAAUCCCCUCUGUCCUGCUUGAGGGUAAAGAAUAAAUCCUUUCCUAGUUAGUGGAAAUGUGGUGAUGCCAUAAGAAAUCUUUGACAGGCCCAUACUUGAGUUUUACAUACUAAUGCCUCUAUCUAUUUGCACUACAGUCUGACCAGCCUCUCCUACCAAGUGCCCUCAGGUCCCCUACCCCAUCCCACAAUCUAUGGUCUCCCUUCUCUGAGAAGAAAUGAAGCCUGCCCUACCUACCCUUAACAAACUCCUUCAUAUUACCAAGCAGUCUUUGUAAUGGUCAAGGUGGCUACUCAUUGAAGGCUUCAUAAUGUUUCCAGCCCCUGAUUUAAGAAAGAAAGAUUCUCUGCCCAGGAUUUCAAUCUAAGUGAUCACUGCCUGCCCAGGUCUUUCCCUUUACUGUUUUAAGGAUUGUAAAACAGAUGGAAUUCUGCAGAGAAGGUACCAAAUCACUUCUGCUAUAUAUACCCAAAGCAGAUAGCAACAAGACAAUGUUGCUCUAGCUUUUUUUUUACAGGAAUCCAUUUGGAAUGUAGUGAGAAUAGGGAGACCAAGGAGGCCUACUUUCUGGUGGAGAUCUGGCUCAUAAGACAAAUUUUGUAAUAGAUUUUUUUAAGUUAGCAACAAGUUGAGAGAUGGGGUGAUGGAACAGGGAUUAAAGAUGUCUCAAAAUGUAGGCAACGUCCAGAAAUAAUUCAACCUUUUAUUCUGUAGAGGCCAGAAAGAAAGACUAACUCUCCACGGAAAGAACUGGAAAGUUUGACAGAAAGUCCUUAAAAAGAUCUCUUGGCAUUUCCAGAUGUAGUAGAUUUUUAUUAGGUGUCUUCUGGCUCUGAAAAGCCACCUUACUCACCUGAAAAGAAUUGUACUGAAAGGAGGAGGGAAGGGAAUAAGACAGAGGAACAGACCCAGGACAUACAUUCAUUCAGAUGGAACUUUAAAGAGGCAGUAAAGAAAUUCAAAGUAGACCUUAUCUCCAAAGUUCUGAACUGGUCCCCUGAGUUUACCGGUUGUUGCAGCAACAAAUCCUAUAUGGCUAGACAUCUGUCUGGAAAUAUAGCCACCUCCCCUUCUUUCUUCAGUUUCUUUAAAGAAAAUAGCUGUUUUUUCCUGGUUCCCAGGAAAACAGUUUUAUUUGGUGCAAGCUUUCAAAAGCCAAUCUCCACCCUGGUGCUUAGGCAAGAAGGAGGAUAUAAUCCUGACUGGGAAUAGCACUGUUCAAGAGUUCAGGGCAUGUUGAGAUUCCCAAGUAUAGAUGUGACAGUUCUGACAUUGCCUGUAUUUCCACAAGUAAGUAAAAGCUUUAGCAACUCAGCACUCAUGCAAACACUGCCCAUAAAAAAUAUGACCUACCCAAAGCAUGGUUUCUAAUCACUGGAUGGUAAAAUGAGUUUGUUUUUAAGAUCUCAGAAGAAAUGUUUUAAUUUGAAAUUGAACAUCAUAUCCAUUUCCAGAAGCCGGAUUGUAUCUCUAUCUGCCCAUGUGCAACAACAGCAGGUCCUAGAGCUUGGGUUUUUGUAGUGGAUUACAUUGUUUUUGUUCAUUUGUUAUGGUAGCAGGGCCAUUGCCAAUGAUUUUAUUAUGAGGUCUUUCCCUUCCUGAGUGAGAUCACUUCAUAUUCAGAAGGAAGAAUAGCAUAGCACUGGAUUGAACUAAAUAGAACCUAUAUCCUUACCCAAUGAAAUGUUCUUCCAUGCCAGAGCUUUCUUUAGCAUCCCUGAGUUGUUAUAAAAGAUAGCUGUUUUGAUUCCGAAGCCCAGGUUGAAGUGACUUUAAUUAGAAUGUCUUCUCAAAAAUCUGACACAGCAUAGGGUUGUCACCUUAAGCCAGAAAGUCCUGUGACAGAGAACUGAAGAUAGAAGUUGGGGACUGUUUGGGGUGAGGUAAAAGGAGGGAGUUAGCAUUUGUUUCUUUUUAACCUUUCGUUGUUAUAAAAUAUCAUUAUUCUGGAAUGUAAGACUAAUGCCGCAGACCAGAGGGUGAAGAAAUGCACAAGAGGCAAAAAACUGCUAAGGGUAUCAAGCCUGCAGGAAGUAGUUGUAAUUGCUCUGCACGUGCUGGUUUGGGGAAGAAUUCAUCUCACCUACGUCAGUGAUGAUAGUGCAGGUUCAAGAUAGAAAAAAAGUUUGGUUGGUGGUCUGAAUAUUAGCUCUUUAUAAGAAUUAGAGGAGGGUCCAUCUGUUCUGUGUCAAUGAUAAUGCAGGUUCAAGGUAGAAGUCUGAGAGUUGAUCUGAAUAUUAUCUCUCUAUAAAACAAAAAUCAAAACAUGCCUCUCAAAAGCCAACUUUGCUCAAUGCCUCUUUUAAAAAGAAAUAAAUCCUAAUAAAAAGCUGCAGUGUCCCAUGCAGCAUAUAAUUUUGAAUGUUACCCAUCUCAUUUUUGGUGCCCCUCAAACUUUAGUCAGUGACUCUGUUUUAAAAGCAAAAACCCAUUAUUCUUAAAUCAGUGAUGGAAUGGCUUGAGCUGCAGGCCCUAUGUGAAAGAUAAGGAAUCCCUGCUCUGGAGUAGACCAAGCCUGGUGUUAAUAAGUAUUUAUCUCAACUAGGCUAUAAAAGUCCCCGGCAACCUUAUUUCAGAUGUAGAGGCUCUCUUUGUUCAAAAAUGCCUCACAAAGAUCCUAAAUCUAUUGAAUACACAGAGUAAAUGAACUAAGUAUAAGACCUAUAAAAUUUCAAAGCUCUAAAGGACUUUAGAAAGCACCUAACCCAACCCCAUUAUUUUAUAGAUAAGAAAACUGGGGCCUAAUGGGUAGAUCACUUGUCCAAGGUCACACGGCCAGUUAAUAUCAGAGCCAGGGCCUAAACCUGGGCCCCCUGGCUCCCCAGUUUAUAUGUCUCUCUUUCUACUGGAGUAAGAAUUCAUUAUAGGCCAGGAAAGUAAUUGUACUUCAUAUAUAGAUUCUAAUUAAAAGUAAGAUUUUACUCACUCCAAUAUGUCACAACUGCUGUCAAGGAAUGUUUAUAAUUGAGUGUACCUGGUACAUAUACCCUACCAUUGUAUGGUGCUUUUAGUAAUAAACUGUAUUCCACUUUCCUGCUCCGUAGUAACAACCAAACAUACUCUGAAAUCUCUAAUUAUGAGGCAGAGGUCUCACAGAUCUAAGAAUGCUUCUGCUCAUUUGCCUUAGCAAGCAGCAACAGUGCUGUCCAAUGUCCCCGAUGAUGCUUUGUGGUACUUGGAAGAAGCCCAAACCAUGGAAAGUAUAUAGUACAGUCAUAUGUAUUUUGGUCAUAAGAAACUUGAAUGUUUUCAUGUGAAGUGGUUCAAUGGCACUUCACUGAAAUCAUACAUUUCCCCCAAGGUCUUUCUCUUUCCCGUGUUUAUGUGUGUGUACACUUGUCAUCUGUGUAUUUGUGUGGCACAUGCAGAGGCACAAGGCUAGAGGUUACGGAAUGGUUGUAGUGCACCUUCAGGAGGUAGGGAGCCCCCUCCAGGCUUCCAGAACUGUUCUGCUCACCCCCACGCACACACACGUGCACGUGCAUGCGCACAGAUAACACUGUUCACCAGCUUGUGAAUAUUUGUGCUGUGGUCCUUUCCAAGGAAACAACAAUCACCUGCUUCUUCUGUUGGCUUUUGUAAAGCUGUGGGAGAUGGGAGAAACAAAGGCAGCUUGUUGGAGCUACAGAAAACCCACAGUAACAGGCUGUUUCCUUCAGGGGAAAGUGGAACAGAAGUAUUAAGUUGGCAGACCAACAAGGAAUGAGCAGCCCUAAGGAGUAUGGGAGUGAAAGAGAGAACCAGGCAGGGAAGGCCUGUGACACGUGGGACCAAGCCACCCCAUGUCUAAAAUAUGACCUGUCCGUUUCCUCUGUGUGUACAUGUGUGUGCGUGUGUGUAUGUACACACACACACACACACACACACACACACACACACACUAUGUUCCCAAACUAAAACCUACUGAUGCCUCUGGCAUCUGCAGUGAAUUGUAGUAAUCCACAAUCUGUGUCUCCUGAAACCAGUGUGGCCUUUGCCAAAGUCUUUCCAGGAGUGAGUCGUUUACUGUGUCUGAUAGACUAAUGGACUGUCAGGGAAAGGGGUUCUGUAAUCUCUGAGAGUAGUAUAUAUGGAUAGCCCAUGCAUAUGUCAGUCUUUAAAAUAGGAUGCCAUCCUGGUUUGUUACACUGUCCCAUCUUGGGUAGUUGACUUCCAAAGCAUGUGGCCUGGAAGCAGUAGGUACCAGUUUUCUCACUCCUGUGUUCUUCACUUACUAGAUAGUUUAUUUUUAUGACACGUAGAUUAUUUUUGUUUUACAGAAUCCAGAGAGUAUUUUCUUUCUUCUUUUUUUUUUCUUUUUUUGGUGACUGUUCCCCUUUCUUAUUAAAUAAGGCUACAUAUGGUUGCAGCUUUUUGUUGUUGUUGUUAAAAUGUAUAUUGUCUUUCUAUAUCCAGAAGUCUGUGACUGUAACCAUAGGUAUUUCUUUUUACUGGAAAAAAUAUAACAGAUUUUUUUUAAUUAUUAUUAACAGUACUAGUGACUUUGUGGAAGAAGAUGAGUUACUAUUUAGCUAUGCUUAAGUACAGUACACUACAUUGCAGUAUUUCUGAAACCUAGAACUUACACAUUAUAUAUAACAACUCUAUAUCAAAAUAUAUAUAUUACAGUAUAUUCAUUUUAACUUUUGAAUAUGCCUAUGAUCAUGAGUUGAUAGACAAACACUUCUUUGCAUUUAUCAUUCAUCACCAACCUGCUGCAGUUAAUUUGGUGCAUUUAAUAAUUGUUACUGGCUCUAGUUUGGUUUUUUAUAUUAUUAUCAGCUUCAGUAUUGUCUAUACAGGUUUUUAGAAUUUUUUUAAGAUCAGAAUUUUAGCAAAACAUAGGAAAGUGAAAACUUUUUUUUGGAAACAUAGUAUUAGGCUAGUACCGAAGGGGAUCAUGUUCAUGAAAAAGCCUGUUGAGCUGACCCUCUCAGUUUCUGAAGAACAAAAGAAGUGUGUGUGUGUGUGUGUGUGUGUGUGUGUGUGUGUGUGUGUGUGUAAAAUACCUGUGAUCUCCCCUCUCUUUCAUAUCCAUUUAUUUUCCUUAAAAAUCCCAGUCAAGAAACUAGUUCUUCAUUAUAUAAUCUGACCAAGAAGAGCUAUUCCAUUAAAUGCUGUUUCCAAAGGCCUCUGUUUUAUGAAGUAUAUAGUCAGUGACAUGCCUAGUUGUCCCAUUUGUAUUUGCAAAGAUUGAUUGUGAUAAUGGUUCUUUAAGGAGCUGCAUUUUCAGAUGCUUAUAGUCAUUUUAAGUAACCCUUCUUCAAAAUCUCCCCAUGAGGUAGGUCGGCAAUCUGAAGUUCCAGUUUGCCGAAGAAAAAUGGAAGCAAGGGAUUUAAAUGACUUUUCCAAAUUAUGGGUGAGAUAGUAUUUGAGCCUCGUGCUCCAGUUUAUCUAGUACAUUUCUUCAGCCAAUAGAAUCCGUAAAAUCCAAAAAAUAGAAUCCAUAAAACGUGGCCCACAAUUUCCCCUUUGCAUUUGACAGUAAAGAACUGCUUCCUUUCAUCGUACAUUAUAUAUAGAAUACUAAAACUGGAUGGCACCUUCAGAAAGCAUAUAGUCCAUGUUCCUGCCCAAACAGAGCGGGUUUACUUAAAGAUUUCUACACCAAAAGGCCCCAUGAUUCACUCCCUCAGAAACCAAAUCGAGUGUCUAACAGUUUUCAUUUUCAGAAAAAUCUUGUGCCUAUGUGAGGCCCCAUGUGAUGUCAUUUAAUAUCAUCUUCUUGUGCUUCAGUGGCAGUUAAAAUUAGCUGGUUAUCGUACCUGUAAAAUUCCCUCAGCCUCAUCUCCUUUCUGAAAGAAUAAUCCCAGUUCUUUCCUCCUUUCAGACAGUUUUUAAUUUUCUAAUUUCACUUUCUGGCUCUCCUCAAAGCCAUCUUCAUCUUUCUUCAUCCCACCUGAGUUUUAAAACUUUCGUGCUUGGGGUGCUAAGUACUGAGGACAAUGGAAGAAUUCCAAAUCUGUUUCACUUUUUUUCUUUCUUGUUGUUACUUCCUUAACUUGUAUCUGCUGUGUCUAGGAAUAAUUUACUUUCCUAGAACAUCCAUUAGGGAAAAAAAAAUCUUAAUGCUGUUGAAGUAUUAAUCAAUCAGUAACCCUAAAUGCUUAUUUUCUCUACUCCUGUUCAUUUUUAUGCCACCUUUAGCUUCCAUUAAACUAAAAGCACUUUGAGGUGAGUGGGCUGCAGGUAAGCUUCAAAUUGGAGGCAUGGUGAAUAUUAUCUAAAUGCUAUCUUUAGAUUUGAAUUUAUCAAUAUUAUUUUGAGAGUGGGAAGAUCUUGAUCACGUUUGAAAAUGUCAGAUGAGCUAGCUUAGAUCAUUCAUUCCUUUUCAUCCUCAUAGUCAAAAGGGAAAGAAAUUCCUUUUUUUCCUUUAAAUAAAAUACAAAUUCACUAGGUGACAAGAGACCAUUUCUAAGAGAGAAAAAUGACUAUGUUUAUUAUGGUUGUAAUCAUUAUUGGAGAUUUCAGCUCCUGCUCUUUUUCCCUAACUAAAUGAAACCUUCCACAGCUAAUGGGUUUCCACAAGUUAACUUCAUGAAGGUAAUAAGAUUUGUAUUCCAAAAUGGUCUUGAUCAAUCUUAAGCCUCUAUAAGCCCUUUCUAAACAAGCCAUCAGUAAUCAAAUACAUUUUAGGAGGAUACAACUCUUCCAUGCUACAGAAGGCUUGUUUUGAACUGGAGCAGUAAUUAACUGACAAACAAAAAUGUUCUUGCAGCCUCCCAAAGUGCCUAAUUUGCACCCAGACAUGAGCCUCAACCCCAACUCAAAAGCUGAUAGUCCUAGAAUUGUAAGAAAACCUGAGAAGUCCCACGAUCUGCCCCACCCUCAUAAUUGAACACUAUCUGGGCCAUUAUUACAGAGUUUAAUCAUCCAAGUCAAGCUUUUACCAGUGAUCCCCAGCUCUCUGGUCCAUAUAACCAUGAUCCAGCUACAUAGCAUUUUACAGAUUUCAAAGUGCUUGUAAUAGAUAAUUGUUAAUGUUUUUAGAGUACUUCGAUGAUUGCAAAGCACUCGGCAAAUAUUGUCUCCUUUUCCCCACAAACAGCACGUGGAACAAGUGUGAUGAUCCCCUUUUGCAGAUGAGAAAACUGAAGCUCAGAGAGAUUGAAUGAUCUUCCUAAAGUAUCAAGAUAUUUUGAGCCAGAGAUGGGAUUAGAAUGCAGGACUUCUGACUAAUCUAGGAUUCUUUCCUGAACUAUACCAUUCUGACUCUCAAAUUUCAUAAUGAUUUUCCCUGUGUGUAUGUUUGUAUAUGUAUGUGAGUGUGUAUGACUGCACUGCAUGAUUUUGAACAGACUAAGAGGCUCUAUUUUUUUUCCAAAUAAAAACCAGAAAGUCCAAAAAGAAAGAAUAGUGGGAUGGAGGAAGUGCUGGAGGUGUUUGCAGGCAAUCAGACUUUCUUUGAAUUUCAUAAACGUUUCUGCUUUUGUUCUGAAGCUUGAGACAGAUUUUUUUUUCAUCAAACCAGUUUAUACACUUAACCUGCAAAGAGGUAUAGAAGGGGAUUAAUAGAAGAGUUUUGCUGCCACAAUCCAAAGAACCACACAGCAACAGAUAAUUCACCAUUUUCCUUAUUUUUGUGGCCUUAUAAUCUACCACUCUUGACACGAUGAUGAAACCAAGACCUUCUCCCUUCUUCCUCCCUUCACACACAGUGUUAUACUGUGAACCCAAACACCUGUCUUUCUCACAGGGCAUCCCUUCUGAAUAAAUAAAAAAGCUUUCCUGUCAGUCAUCCAAAAAACAGAAGCAUCUGUCUUGGAAAGUAAUACAUAUAAGAGAAGAUUUUGUUUUUAUAGGGCCCUGACUGAGCCAGCUGAUGAGAAGAAUUACUUCAGAGUAAGUUAAUGGAAUUAGUCUAUCUACUCCUCUCUGAACUAAGAAUCAGGUUUUCUUAUCACAAUCUCUGUUAUGUUCUCAAAUUAGUGUCUAGAUUACGUUGUUAGAAAGAGGCAUAAUUCCAAGCUGUAACUUUAUGAUUGCCUAGGUGCUGACUGUAUUGGUAGUAGCAGGAGCAUUUGGCCUUAACAGUAACUGUAUAGCAAUGAAAGAAAAACAUUCAUCAACAAGAUAGUUUGUAUUUCGUAGAGUAGAUUUCUUUUUCCUUUUCCCUUCAUAAUGUACUUGCUUUUUUGACAGUUCAUUUCAAAAAAGUCUGCAGUUCAUUUCACUAAUAAAUAGUUUUAGAGUUUGCAAGUAUAGGCUUAAAAAUAAUCUAAAAAAGAGGCUGAUAUAAAGCCAGUUUAUUUUUCAUACUGGUCUUUUAGAAUAUGUGUGCACAGAAAGCAAUUCCUUCAAAGAAAGUGAAACUAAUAAAGUAGGCCAGCAAACACCACUUUUACAUAGAAAAACAAUUAUUGUCUCUCUCUAUAAAUCUUAAUUGGGGUAAAAUUUUAUUUCCUUAAUUUUUCUUUUUGUUUUCCUGCUAGAGGAUUUAAAAUUGAUGGACCACGUGUUUUAUCAAAUAUUUGGGCAGUUCUUUUUUCUUUUUCUCUGUCACUUCUCAAGUGACUGAAAGUUUUAAAAUCUGGGGAUUCAGUACUGACUACAGUGGGCACUGAACUCAUAUUGCAAUGUCCUGUCAUUUGCCAUUUAUUGCUCUAAUGGUUUAAACCUUCCAUUCUACAGUUGAGGCAUCAACAAAAAUCCCAUGUUUCUUUCCAUAGCAGCACUUGCUGCUGGGCAAAAAAAGGAUUUUCUCAGAAAUUGUUUGAGACUGAGCUAAGAAAAAUAAAAAAAGCUUUCCUUGCAAAAUUCAGGCAACCAAAAUUGACAAGUCCUGGGCUGUAGAACUGUAGAUAGUUAUUGAGGAGGGAGACUGGGGUUUGCACUACACACACAGGACAUAGAUUUCAAAUAUUUCCUUCCCAUGCUAAUUAAAUCCUAAUGCAAGAAAUUCAGGAAAUAUAAAAAAGUAAAAAGCCACUUAAAAAAACUUCAAAGUAAUCAUUGAGGCUAUAAUUUGACCUUAAAUGAGUAAACUCCUGUGUUUUGAGAUAUUUCAGUUACUUCAGAUUUAUCUUUUCUUCUAUAAAUUCAUAAUCUGGUUUUCAACAUUACCUUGAUUCAACAAAUAUUUAUUAAUCAUGGACUUUAUAUGAGGCAUUGUACUAGACUAUAGGCAUACAAAGAUGAAAACAAGUUUGGUUUUUAACAUAGUUGAAGUUUCAGUGUUCCUAGCGACAUAAAAACAAAGAGAAUCAGAGGAAUAUAAAAUUAUUUGAGUGGAUUCCCCAAUGCCAAUUUCAGUUGUAUCCAAAUACUUUAUCCAUGAGAGAGAACCUUACUUUAUAUUCAGUCAGUAUGGUAAGUAUUACAUGGGUGAGGUAACUUUGCAUGUCUGCGAUUAAAGAUAUCCCUCAGUCCUAUCAAAGCCUACCAGAUCUUUGGAAAUAAGUAGCACUACACGAAGUUAGCUUUUUACAUAACUCCAAAAAAAAAAAUGACUGUGCGUGAUGUUUUGAUUUCCUCAUACUGUAUAAGGAGUCUGUAUAUCAGGAGCAACCUACAGAGAAGACUGAAGUAAGUUGGUAUGAUAUUUAGCCAUGUACUGUAAAGGGUUUUGAAGAGUUACCAAAAACUGGGAAGAUGUUAGAAAACAAAGCCAGUCUCUCUGAUUGCACUCUUCCUGGGGUAAAACCUCUUGAGGGGGUCAGGUCUGCCAAAUUCACUCACCAGAUUCCUAAGGAUUUGGGCGAACUAGUUCCAGCUUCUCUAAUCUUAUUCAUUUCAGUCCCAACCAUCCCUGAAUGACCCAGUGGGACAGAAAUUAAGAGGCAGUUGGUAGACAUGUAACCUAUAUUAUUCUUUGUAUUAUUGUUGGAGGAGUUAGAGUUUUAAAAGUGGUUGAAAGCCCUGUCCUUUAGUAAUCAGUAUUUUGCCAAGCAAAGGCAGAAAACAGGGCAGUGUGGAAGAAUCAUUGGUAACAUUGUGGUUUUCAAUUGUCCAGGUACUUUGGCCAUAUGCUGUUGUGGCGUAUAACUACUCUGCUUGCAAACAGCUUCCUGAUUCCCUUUAGAUCACAACAUAUACUUCUAUAGUUCACAUAUAUACACAUGCUAGCAGAUUCACAUUCAGACCUUGAUGAAAUAUUUAGUCUUUCAUCCAACAAUCUUAUUAACCACCUACUUGUGAUAGGCACUAUGUUAGGCACUGGGCAUAUAAACACCAAAAUGCACAGAAAGCUUGUUUUUUACUGCAGGGUUUCAGAAAUGGACUAUUGAAGGCUGUUCAUUAUAAACCUAUUCUCCAAAAUCACUGAAUAUUCCAGAUCUCUUCUCUCCCCUCCCCCUGCCCUCUGCCCUAUUCAAGCUAAUUCUUGCUUGGGUAAGCCCUGGAAGGUGUCUUAAUAUGAAUGUUUUCCACAAAAGAAGUAGUGCACUGCAGAUUAAUUUUAACUUAAUAAUCUAAUCUGAUAUUUAAUUGUUAUAAUUUUUUUCUUGUGAUUUUAUUUUGGUAACAUUGAACUGCUUAUAACAAGUUUCAAAUUGUUACCAGAAAAGAGGCCUUGAGAAUGUGUGUGUGUGUGUGUGUGUGUGUGUGUGUGUGUGUGUGUGUGUAUCUGGGUACGUCUAUGUUGGUGUAGAAAGACAGAAAGAAAAAGUGAGUAGGGAAGAAACUAAGAGAGGGAGUGGAAUGGGAGAAUGGUCAAGAGAGAUAAGAUGACUAUUGAUGUAUUUAUCUGUGUUGUGUGGGAUGGCUGCUGUCUGUUGCCAUUGAGGAAGAAUUGAUUGCACUAUUCAGAAAUCAGAUCAGAACUGUCACUGUUAAGUUUAGAGCUGUGUUUUUGGGAACAGGAGAGCUUUAUCUUUUUUCUGUGCUCAUACCCCUUUGUAAGGGAGCCAUUUGACAUGAUGAAAACCAUUACAUAAAACCACUACUGACUUUUGUAUUUCAUGUCUGUUUCCCUCUAGCACCCUUGGUUUCAACUUGACUGCUCCUCUUUACUUUCUGCCCAUGGGCUUAAUAUAUUAUAGAAUAGGACUGGUGAUAUACAUUAGCUAUUACUAUUCUCCUUUGAAUAGAAACAGACAGGGCCAUGAAAGAGACAACCCAAAACAUGUUGGGUGAAGACUGAAAUCUCCUUCCUUUGUUGGCACUGGUAUCCUUGAGUAAGAGCUGUUUGGGGCUGUGCUUUUGGUCUGGGAUAGAGUGUUUUAUUUUUGCACUAAGCGUGACUGCACUGCAUUGCACUACUGAAAUGUAAUUGUGCCAGGAAAGGAAGGGAGGACGAGGACAUGAGAUAAAAAGAAGGAAGAGAAAAUGGGAGCAAGUUAAGAAAAUGGAAUUGUGUCACAAAGACAAUGGACUGUCUCCAUUGUGCCUGGUUCUGGGCAGGUUGAAAGAUUAAUUUGUAGUAUCUUUACUGACAGUUGAUCAGACACCAGGAGAAUCUCAGUGACAUCAUCCCGUGUUUUUCAAGCAAGCUCUGUCAUGGUGAUAGAAGACAUUCAAAGUGAAAGUGAUUUCAAGGUUUUCUAAAUCCUUUGUGUUUUUUUUUCCAAUUAAACUUUCGCUAAAGGCUGAGAUGGGCUAACGGGAGCUAAACAAUGUGAAAUUGAAAAUCCCAAUCUUAGGCUGGACCACAAAGCCAGUUCCCCAGUGCACAUCCCAGUGGGGCAGAGAAGAGUGGUCUGUUAUCCCCAAAGGCAAGCUUGCCUAUUUUGUUGGUGCCCCAUGAGCCUGAGCAUGCUCCCUCUGCCCCAUGAUAGAACCAUAGAUUAGGCUAACCAAAGAGGAAGGCCACGCAUGUAGUGAAGAAGUAUUUCUUUAAAAGGACAGUGAAGGGAACAGUGCAAUAAACACUGCGAAUAAGUGUUAUGAACAGUUUAUUUUGAGAAGAACUAAGCAAACUUUGCCUGAUGUCGGGGGAUGGGGAGGGUAGAAAGGAGGAAGGGAAACGUUGGAAAUUUUACCAGCUGCCUAAACAGAGAAUGUUAUUAAAUAAAUUAAUUGAAAGAAAAUUAGCAGUACUUAUUGGUACCAUUUUGGAGUUUCUUUACUUCAAAGCAAAACACAGAAGUCAUCAGUUUGGCAGGUGUUCAGUAGAUGUGGACCCUAGGAAAUAGAGAUGAGUUAUUUCAAGGGUAGUAAAAAAAAGAAUGAAGGUGCUGAAAGAAUCCAGCAGAAUCUAAGGAUUGAAGUUUGCAGUACAAGCAAGAGAAUGUUUAAAAGGCUCUGUUGAACUAUUCUGAAAAAUGUUCUUUGUUGAAGGAUUCUAACUGGGAACCUUUCUCUAGUAUGGCCUCUCUUUCCUCAAAUUGCAGAAAUUGGUUCUAGUCCCUCCCUCCUUCCUCUGAUAUAUCCAUGUCUAUUACCCUCUGCAGAAAAAAAAAAGAUUGUGAAUUUUUCUAGUCUUGUAGGUAUUUCACACACACACAAAGAAAACAGAGAAGGGAAUAUCCCUUCAGAAGAUAAUGUAAAAGCUAAGCUAAAUACUCUAAGCUUUAGGCUUAUCUCUAGUUCAUGUUAGGAACCCUAAAAAUCUGUACUCUUAACAGGCACACAGAAAAACUCUGUUGGGUGAGCUUUAAGGGUGGUGAGAAAAAAGUUGUAGAAAGAAAUAAACUGACCUUUUUUUGUCUAUACACAUUAGUUGUCUUAGCCUACUUGAGGCUUUUGGAAAACCGCUUCUUCCAUAGCUGGUGUUUAUCUGUUCCAGUUCUACAAUGCACAGCUUUCUAUCACCAAAUAUCUGAAUUUCCAUAGGCCAAGCCAAAAAUAAUUUUUUCAAAGAAUCUUAAUGUGAUAGGUUCAAAAGAUGUGUUUUGGUAGUCAAGAAAUCGCACUUCACUUUUCAUCCUGUACCCACUGUCAUUAAGAAAAAAAUUUUAAUCCGAGGAGCCACUGAACUGCCUUCUUGACUUUCUAGACAGGUCAGAAGAAAAACAAUGGUAACAAAGGAACAUCCCCACAAACUCUCCUCUUCCAACAGAGGCAUUAGCUAGAGACGUAUGGUUAUUUCCAUGAAAAAGGGCAAGUUUAGUUGUGUUGGAAGUCAUGAAAAUGAGCAUGAGCAAGUACAGUCAAGGUUAUUGGUCUGUAUUGUUAGCAGCAAUUGCCAGUGGGAGAGGGGGUAAUAGUAGUCAAAUAUUCUAUUGGCCACUGAGUUCAUUUACUCAUGGAACCAAUCAUGUUAAGUCUAUUGGUUUGUUGUUUUUUUUUUAAAUUUCCAUUAUUUUGGGGGAGGGGUUAAAAAUGUCCUUUUCUGUGGCAUCAAAAGUUCUUGGAGGAUGAUUAUGGAUCUGCUGUGAUAGUGCCUUUCCUGUUGUGGUGAAUGCUAGAAUUGUAACUUUGUUUGCUUAUACUAACAUGGACUGUUAGCUCCUGUUCUUUAUGGAGGUUUGAGAGGAUGGCCUCACGCUAGAUGAGGAUGUAGUCUACUGCUUCUGGAAAGCUGUGAUUAGAUGACAUUUGCACUAGAAUCUAAUAUGUGUUACCCCCUAGAGUAAGUGAAUGAGAGAAAAACCAAGGGUAAUUUGAUGUAAGAAUAAGAAGCCAAAAGGAGUAUUGAUAACUGAUGCCACUGAUUUUUUUCCCCUUCUUUCCUAGAAAGAGAAACACACUAUGGUCCUCUUUUACUGUUGCUUCUCGGUCACACUAAAAGGCCACGGUGAACCUAUCAUCAGCCAGGGAUAGUAAAUGUCAAUAGGGACUUCACCUAUCCUUAUUGCCUAAGCUAUGUGACUGUUUUUAUUCUCAGUUGUUGGCAGCAUCAUGGACAUGCCAUGAAGUGACAUUCCUUCCCUGAGCUGUCUAGCAACUCAGGAGUCCAACAGUGAGCUGCUGCCAGUGUAUUUUAUUUUAACUCCAUGAAUGCUUUUGACGUCUUUGCUCAGAAAAGAGGUAGAUGGUCCUUUAGGUGACACUGUGAAAGAUGUGUAGAGGCAGUAGGAAACCAGCAUAUUGAAGCAAAUGAGUGGUGGGGUGCCAAAAGUGUGUCUGCUUCUUUCUUUCUCUUCAGUCCCCCCUCCCUAAUCCCACUUCCACUCCAAAGUAGGGUAAGUAGUCUUGCAUGCUUUUCCAAAUAAUUUCUUUGGUUUCUCUUGAGGAGUGGACUGGAAAGUCCUCCAAAAACCGGGACAGGUGCCAUCUGCAUCUCUGUCUGACCAGCCAGUUUUCUUGCAUACUUGCCCAGGUGGCCUUGACCAGUCAUUUAAGAUAACCUGGAAGCUUUCACUAGACCAAACUGCCUGUCCAUUUUGUAUGACCUUGCCUCAUGCUCCCCAGUUGAAUUGGAAUGAUGCUAUUAGGAGGUAGAUCCAUUUGAACCCCAAGCAAUUAUGCAUUGUUAUUGGAUGCUGCAGUCCUAGGGCUUAGUUUGUAUUAUCCAAAAGCAUCUUUUUCUGCAUCUCUUUCUUUCAGUUCACUCUGUUGCCCUGAUUAUGAUUUUUAUUAUAUUCAUUUAUUUUUAGUAGAUUACAUUUUAUGUCUAUUUUAGUAGUAUCUCUCUUUUUUCCCAUGGAUACUGUACUAACCUAUUACUUAAAUAUAAUUUUGUUUUAUUAAUAUGUAAUUCUACUGUAGACCAAAAAAUAUGAAGACAAAAUUUGUUUCAGAUUAAAGAUAUUAAAAAAAAUCUAGUGAGUAAAAGAUGGAGUUGAAGGAAAAGGCAAGAAAAGCAGUGGUUAAUCAUGUUAAGUUAGAAAUCUAAGAGUAGCCUUACCUGUUUCUUAACCAAUGCUUAUCAGUUAACAUUUUAUUGUGUUCAGCACAUUCACGCUUGUAUCCUAUUAUCCUGGUUUGUUUGUUUUGUUUUUCUUUGAUGUUCAUGAGGUUGCACGUUGUGUUGUUGUUGACAAUGCCCGAUUUUUAUUGUAUUGUACUUUUUUCAGUCAUUUCCUUUGGAAGGAUGGGGGAAAAUAUGUUUUUUAUUAAUUUUUUAAAUGCACUGGAAAUAAAAUUUGACACACUUCACUGUUUGAAAAGCAAAACAAAACAACAAAAAUGAGAUCUGCAAAAACAGCAACCAGCUAAGCAACAGGAGAACAAGCUAAGAGAAACCCCAUUUUUGUAUUGAAUACGCAUCCAAAAUACUGUCUCCCAUGAAAAUAAAAACCAGCAAAUAAAAGAAAGAAGAAACAAUUGUCAGCCACAACAAAGAAAAGAAAACCAGCAGAGCCUGGGCUCAGUUGACUUCAGAACUAGUUGGGAUGGAGGAAAGGGGGAAGGGUAGAAUCAUUGAGUCUCUUCACUUAACCUUUAUAUUUUGAUAUAUCCAAGAAAGUAGUACACAUACACCUUCCCUUCCUUGUAGUCCUGUCUGAUUUUUGAGCUUCCUACUUCUCCCUUACAAGUGAUCCGCAACUGAUAGUGAUUUCAAACCUUAAUAUGGGAAGGAAGCCAUCAUCAAAAAAAAUAAUCACUGGUUCAGUAUAUGCCAGUGCUGAAGCAUGCGUUUUUGGUCUCCUUUCUUUAUGGUCACUCGGUGCCAACUGAGCCAGUUAACUCCAUUUAAACAAAUAGCAAAAACAAAGUCAUUAUAAUUGCUACCAGAAAGGUAAAAUUUCAGUACCACACUAAGAUUUUUCUUAGCCUGUUGGCUUUUGUUUGCUUAAUGUUUGCUGAUUUUUCUUUUUAAGGGUGGGGGUGUGAGUGGAUGUAAUUUCACAAUCCUGAUACAGUAAUUGUUUUGCAUCUUCCAUGUUUUAUGCAAAAACAGACAUUUAAAUCAAUAAAUAAUUGUGCCCUAGACUGAAAGGUAAUGUUUAGGAAAGGAAAACAAUUGUUGGGAUUUUUUCUACAUUUUUUUGUGAAGAAUCUUUUUUGGAAAGGAAGGAUACAUAUUUUUGUUGUGUGAUAUUUUCUAUUUUUGAAUGCAUUUUAUUGGUACAAGACUGUUUUUUUGGUGAAGACAUUAUUUAAAAAAAAAAAGAAAAAAAACUUAAUCGAAAAGUUUGCCCUUAAGGAUAUGCUGCAGUUUUGAGGUUUAAAAAAAAAAACUGAUUCAAGAUGCGUGUUAAAGUUGGGAUUAUAUUGUUGUUUUUUGUAAUUGUUACAAGAAGAAGUUUGUACCCACUGCUGUUUAUUUUGUUUCAGAUGAGUAAGUAAAGGGAUUGUUCUUGUUUUAUUCUUUUUUUUAAAAAAAAAAAGCUAUUUAUGAAAUGUCAAAAACACUGGACUGUGAGUUUAAGUGUGGAAGCAUUUUACCACCCUGUGUCUUCAACUAAUUGUUGCAACCCCUUUUUCUCUUCCCCCCACCUCAGCCUUGCCAAAUGAGAGAAAUACAACAGUUGUCCAGAUAGAAGCCACCAGACUGGGUGGAAGGGAUUGAGGGUGGGGAGGCACGAUCUUGGCUUUAACAUUUCAUGGUUUUAAAAAAGUUGAAAAAACCAAAGGCAAAGUUGUUUUUGAAAUUUUCUUAUCCAUAGCUCUAUUUUUUUUUUUGGUACAAUCCACCCUCACCUCUCCACCUUACCAUGCAACAUUCCACACAGAGAAUACCAGAUAAUGGGGAAAGACAUUCUACAGCUAUUGAGAGGUAACAAUAUAUCCGAGCAACACAAAACAUGGUGGGCCUGAGAGUUGAGGUCUCAUGAAGUUGUCUGUAAAUGGAAUCUCAGUUACUUAGUGCCCAAACCAUACUUUCCUAUCUCAAAAAAAGUUCACCAGUGAAGCCAUCCAUGAGCCUCACACCUCUGUAACCAUUUCCAAGAACCUUCAGUUGUCAUUGCUGUCCAGGAAGGUUUUGCUUCCACUCUCUUCCUGAUAUUUCUCACAUUCCUUGGAUAGGGACAGACUGAGAUGGGAGACCUAGAACAGUACAAUGGAAAGAUGACAACGACCAUCGGGGGAAUGAGGGGAAGGGCAAGGGAAUUGCCCUCUGGAGGAUGGUCGCCUGCUCUGAUGGGUGAUGGACGUGGUGAGGCCAAGAGAUGAUGCUGGCACUCAUGUAGACAUGGGAAAGGAACAUGCAGAAAGCCUCCAGAAAAAGCAUGUGAGGAACGGAGCGUGUGCAGGGUCAUAGGGAGGAUGGCGUCAGCCAGGGAAGGUGGAGGAGCUGAAAGGAGAAUGUACACCCAUUUUCAAAAUAAAAACUAAGCUUCCUAAACAGAAACCUACAAGAAAAAAUCACCCUUUCUUCACUUGUACUCUCUUCCCUCCUUUCUCAGUCUUUCUGCAAAGGUGCUGCUAGGUUCAAGGAGUCCAGAUUGCCCAAGGACAGCCCGCCCCCGGGGCACAAGCCUGACACUGCCAUCUGUGCCAUUGGCAUUGGAAAACACAAGCCUCUCAUGCUUGGGGCUUAUGCCCAGCAGAACUUCACACCCAAAAUGUUUUCUAAGGGAUCGGUAGAUUCCAGUUAUUUUGUGUUCAAUGCACUUUAAACAAACAAACAAAAAUGAAAAACUCCAGACUGUUUAAAAUACACAGGUGACAGGGAAGGGGAGGGAAAGAGAAGAGAAAUGAGUGCUCAUGUCUGAACCCAGUUCAGUUUAUCUCCAGUUCAAACAAUAUAUACACUAUAUUAUGUAUAAAUAUGUACACACUUCCUCUAUAGGCCCACAUAUAUAGUGUGUAUAUGUUGCACAUACAUACGUGUUUUAUUCGUGCAUAUAUAUGUCUGUAUGCACAUUUCAGACCCAGAUACUACACAAACAGCAGUAGAGGAAACGAGGUUGGACUCUUGAAACAGAUCACAAAAAAAAAAAACAGCCGCUUGCAGUGACUUUGGUCAUUUCUGUAUGUUCACAAGGAAUGGAUUGUAAUGGAAAAAAGGAAAAAAAAAAGGAACAGCAUUAUGGAAAGAAUGGGCGAAACCAUCUUGGUCCAAUGGGAAUGCAGUAAAGUUCUACACCAUUUCAUCAGUUCUCAUUCUGUCAUUUUUGCUUUCAUUUUUUAAAAAUGGUUAUUUAAAGUGAAAAAAAUGAAAGGUUAACCUAGAUGAACCACAACAAACAAAAAAACCAACUACAGUGAAAGCCGUUAUCUAUGGAAGAUGUCAGAAAUCUCAAAACUCUUGGCCUGGCUCAGAACUACCACGUGCAGCCCAAUACUCUUUUAAUGUUUGAAAUGAAAAGUGAAAAAAAAAUACUUUUUGAAGCACCUUAACGUGGCCAUCCAUUCCAGGAGUGGGUGCCACAUUUUUCUUUGAGCACCUUACUGACGUGUUAUGCUAUCUGCUGUCUUUCUGUUACCUGUUGGCUGAGUGGCUGGCUCUUUACAUAUACAUGCUCGGCCAAAGGGCCGGGCAUGUGUGUCCAUCAUGAAGUUUACUGUGGUAACUGCUGAAAGGUGAACCUGUUUCCUGAUUUUCCCCACCACUGCAUUGUGAUAGGAUUCGGAGAAACCCCAUUCCUUGCACAGAAAUGUUUCUUAUCACACUGUAUCUUAUUAUGGAAAGGAAUAUGGUCCCUUUUUUAGCAAUUGCUACCGUACACACAUACACACACACACACACACACACACACACACACACACCACCCCAUUAUGUACACUGAGACCCAUUUGUAUGUCUUGUGCAAAACAGAAAAUUGUUUUGCGCCCAUCCACCUUCACAUACACAUCCCAGUGGUAUAUUCAGUGUCCAUGUGGCUAUCAGUGUUUCUGCAGUUUCCAUUCCCAGAGCAUUUUUCGAACUGAGGGCAAUUAUUCUGACCAGCUUCUGUCUUUUCAGGCAGGAGAUGGAAUUGACUUUUGGAGAAGAAUCAAGAGAGAGCUUUAGCCCCAAGAGCUUUUGAAAUGAACUUCAAUGGCCUUCUCAGGUCAUUAUGUCCAGUCAAGAGAAGGGAAGGAAGGGAAGGAAGACUGCUUUUUCCAGUCCAUGUACUGGUGUAGGUACAUACACAUGUACACAAACAACACACACAUCCAUCCAUAAAUAUGUACGUGGUUUGGGAUGAGAAGGUCAAUAGUUUUGAGGGGGAGUUUGUUCCUUUUUUUCUCUCAUUAUACUCUUAAAUGGUUGUCAGUUAUCAAAACAAACAAACAAACAGCAAAUUUUUUUUUAAAAAAACCUUGCAUACGCCUUUUCUAUCAAGUGCUUUAAAAUAUAGAAUAAAUACACACAUCCUGCCAGUUUUUUCUUACAGUGACAGUAUCCUUACCUGCCAUUUAAUAUUAGCCUCGUAUUUUUCUCACAUAUAUUUACCUGUGACUUGUAUUUGUUAUUUAAACAGGAAAAAAAGUCAAAAAAAAGAAAAAUUAACUGUAGCGCUUCAUUAUACUAUUAUAUUAUUAUUAUUAUUGUGACAUUUUGGAAUACUGUGAAGUUUUAUCUCUUGCAUAUACUUUAUACGGAAGUAUUACGCCUUAAAAAUACGGAAAUAAAUUUUACAAGGUUUCUGUUUUGUGUGGAAGAGUAAUUGAUGUUGCUAAGAAUGAUGUUUGUUUUUUUGGGUUUUUUUGUUGUUUUUUUUUAAAUGUUACCAGCACUUUUUUUGUAAGUUUCACUUUCCGAGGUAUUGUACAAGUUCACACUGUUUGUGAAGUUUGAAUAUGAAGGAGUAAUUAAAAAAAAAAACCUCUUUC